rnacentral:rRNA from 1 species
UAGGGAAUCUUCCGCAAUGGACGCAAGUCUGACGGAGCAACGCCGCGUGAGUGAAGAAGGAUUUCGGUUCGUAAAACUCUGUUGUUAGAGAAGAACAGCGCAUAGAGUAACUGUUAUGCGUGUGACGGUAUCUAACCAGAAAGCCACGGCUAACUACGUGCCAGCAGCCGCGGUAAUACGUAGGUGGCAAGCGUUGUCCGGAUUUAUUGGGCGUAAAGCGAGCGCAGGCGGUCAAUUAAGUCUGAUGUGAAAGCCCCCGGCUCAACCGGGGAGGGUCAUUGGAAACUGGUUGACUUGAGUGCAGAAGAGGGGAGUGGAAUUCCAUGUGUAGCGGUGAAAUGAGUAGAUAUAUGGAGGAACACCAGUGGCGAAGGCGACUCUCUGGUCUGUAACUGACGCGGAGGCUCGAAAGCGUGGGUAGCAAACAGG